GCGCAUUUGGUGAAAGAGGUAAACACGACGGAUUUAAAAUCCGUUCCUAUUGGUUAUUGGUUCAAGUCCAAUAAUGCGCA
rnacentral:tRNA from 9 species